rnacentral:rRNA from 1 species
UACGUAGGGGGGCAAGCGUUUGUCCGGAAUCAUUGGGCGUAAAGAGCGCGUAGGCGGUCCGGUAAGUCCGCUCUGAAAGCCCGGGGCUCAACCCCGGGAGGCGGGCGGAUACUGUCGGGCUAGAGUCCGGAAGAGGCGAGUGGAAUUCCUGGUGUAGCGGUGAAAUGCGCAGAUAUCAGGAGGAACACCGAUGGCGAAGGCAGCUCUCUGGGCAAUAACUGACACUGAGACGCGAAAGCGUGGGGAGCAAACAGG